rnacentral:rRNA from 1 species
GUGCAACAUGCGUGCGAGUCCGCGGGUGGCAAACCUGUCGGCGCAAUGAAAGUGAAGGCAGGCGUCUGGCCUGCUGUGGCGAGAGCCUCCCCCGUUGGGGGCGCAUCGUCGACCGAUCCCAGGCUACGCUGUGGCGGGAUUUGARUGAGAGCGUGCCUGUUGCGACCCGAAAGAUGGUGAACUAUGCCUGAAUAGGGUGAAGCCAGAGGAAACUCUGGUGGAAGCUCGCAGCGAUUCUGACGUGCAAAUCGAUCGUCAAAUUUGGGUAUAGGGGCGAAAGAYUAAUCGAACCAUCUAGUAGCUGGUUCCYUCSGAAGUUUCCCUCGGGAUAGCUGGAGCCCGGUGCAGUUUUAUCAGGUAAAGCGAAUGAUUAGAGGUCUUGGGGCUGAAACAGCCUCAACCUAUUCUCAAACUUUAAAUGGGUAAGAARCCCGGCUUGCUCGGUUGAAGUCGGGCGCAGAAUGCCGGGGCUCCCAGUGGGCCAUUUUUGGUAAGCAGAACUGGCGAUGUGGGAUGAACCAAAUGCCGGGUUAAGGUGCCUGAAUCGACGCUCAUCAGAUCCCAUGAAAGGUGUUGGUUGAUACUGACAGCAGGACGGUGGCCAUGUAAAUCUCAAUCCGCUAAGGAGUGUGUAACAACUCAC